CUCCAGUCUCCAGUCUCCUCUAAAUGAUAUGAUUGAGCAGGUGUAGGUGGUGCUGUCAGAUAGUUGGAGGUUGGUCAGGUUCAGGCUGAGGUCUACAGUUUCCAGAGUGUCAGUCAUGGAUGUUCGGCCGCUGUAACGUUGGUUUUGAUCUUUCAGUUGGUCUCCUUGAAGCUGAUACUGGUCGGAGCGACUCCACACCACCGUGUGCCUGUCCAGGUCAAAAGUGGGAAACUCACAAGGCAGCAGGACAAACAGCUCUCCCUCAUACAGCUCCACAGCUGAGGCAUGCUGGGAAACUGAGGACACAGAGAGAGUCCAUGUGUCACUUUCAGAUCCUUCACCAGAGCCUGGGGUCAUCUACUCCUCACUGAAGUCAACAAUGACGCCUUCCAAACAGCUGAUCCAGUCUGACCAGAGAUGACGGCUGGCUGCCAAAUACAGUCCUGUACACCUCUGUGCAGCAUAUGUUAUUUAUUUAAUUACAUGCUGUGUGUGUUUGCAGUUUUACAGCUGCACUGAAAUAAAUGACUUGAAUGUACA